AUGGCGUACCGAGUGCUGGAGGUCACGCUCCUGUCAGCCAAGGACCUCAAGAGCGUGAACCUCAUCACGCGCAUGGAGGUGUACGCGGUGGCGACCAUCUCCGGCGACCCCAUCACGCGCCAGUGCACCCCGCCGGACCCGCACGGCGGCCGCAACCCGACCUGGAACGCCACGCUCCAGUUCGCCGUGCCGCCCACCGCCGAGGAGGCCACGGGCGGCUGCCUCCACAUCCUCCUCCGCGUCGAGCGCAUCUUCGGCGGCGACCGCGACGUCGGCGAGGUCAUCGUGCCCCUCUCCGAGAUCCUCUCCGGCGUCGGCCACGGCGCCGACUACGGCGCCCACAGCAUGCCGCAGUUCGCGUCCUACCAGAUCCGCAAGGUGCACCGCACCGAGGUGCGCGGCCUGCUCUACCUCACGUACCGUCUCGGCCCCGUCGUCCUGCCGGAGCCCCAUCUGGAGAUACCCGUCGACGAGUGGCCCGUCGUGGCGUACCCGGCGAAGCAGGUGAUGCCGCCGCCGCCGCCUCCACCGCAGGCUGCUUGGCCCGGGUAUGUGGCCGCGGCACCGCCGGCGAAACCACCUGCCGGCUACGUGGCUGUGCCCCCGCCUCCACCUGCAAAGCCGGCCGGCUACAUGGAUGUGCCGUUUUCGCCUGAGAAAGCACCCGGGCAUACCGCAUGGCCGUCUCCAAUACCUUACUGGUACGGGCCCGCGCCAUCACCUGCAAAGCAAGAAGGGCAUGCCGCCGUGCCGCCGUCGCCGAAACCUUCUGGGUACGGGACCGCGCCAUCGCCUGCAAAGCAAGAAGGGCAUGGCGCCGUGCCGCCGUCUCCGAAUCCUUAUGGGUACGGGACCGCGCCGUCGCCUGCAAAGCAAGAAGGUCGUGCGGCCGUGCCGCCGGCGACUCCAAAACCUUCUGGGUACGGGACCGCGCCAUCGCCUGCAAAGCAAGAAGGGCAUGUCGCCGUGCUGCCGUCUCCAAAGCCAGCCGGUGGACAUGUCGCCGUGCCGCCGUCUCAUGAGCCAUCCGGUCGGGUGGUGUCCAUGCCGCCUUCUCCAAAACCAGUCGGGCGUGUGGUGUCUAUGCCACCGUCUUCUCCGAAACCAUCCGGUCAGGUGAUGUCCAUGCCACCUUCUCCAAAGCCAGUGGAACGUGCGGUGUCCAUGCCGCCGUCUCAAAAACCGGUCGAACGUGCGGUGUCCAUGCCGCCGUCUCCGAAACCGGUUGACCGUGUGGUGUCCAUGCCGCCGUCUCAGAAACCAGCCGGGCAUGUGGUGUCCGUUCCGCCGGCUCCAAAACCGGUUGAACGUAAACCGGCCGGAAAUGUGGUGUCCAUGCCUCCGCCGCCGCCGAAACCAGUUGAACGCGCGGUGUCCAUGCCGCCGUCCCAGAAACCAGUCGGGCGUGUGGCGUCCAUGCCGCCGUCUCCAAAGCCAACCGAGCAGCAUGUGUCCGUGCCGCCGUCUGCAAAACCAGCGGCACAAGUGGCCCCGCCACCGUCUCCCAAACCUUCUGGGUACGAGGCCGUGCCUUCUCCUCCGAAACCAGCACCACAUGCGGCCGUGCCGCCGUCCCCGAAACCAUCGGGUCAUUACACCGUGCCGCCGUCUCCAACACCCGCCGGACAUGUCGCUACCAUGCCGUCGUCGUCUCCGAAACCACCUGUUCAUGCGGUGCCACCAUCUCCAAAGACAAGCACGCAUGUGACGGCCGUGCCGCCGUCGCCAAAGCCAGCCGGCGGGCAUGUGUCCGUGCCGCCGUCUCCAAUGCCAUCCGGCGGGCAUGUGUCCAGGCCGCCGUCUCCAGCACCAUACGGUCAGGUGGUGUCCAUGCCGCCUGCUCCAAAAUCAGCGGCCCAAGUGGCCGUGCUGCCGCCUCCAAAACCAGCCAACUUGCCGGCAGAUCACAACCCCAGCAUGGAGUUCGGGUGGGGGCUGGGCGCCGGCCUGGUCAGCGGCGCGAUCAGCGGGAUGCUGGCCGGCGGCAACAAAGGAGAACCGACGGCGUACGCACCACAAGCCGCUCCACUCGCCCGCAGCCGUCAAGUGUCUGUGUCUAAGACGUACGGCAGAGAUGUUUACACGCACUAA
rnacentral:rRNA from 1 species